GAGCAAUUCCGGUAGGAACUAACCUGCCAACUUCCGUGAGCUGGAAUCCGAUAGUAUCGUAGUGUGAAAUGGUGACUUCUGGAGUGCUUUGUAGAUUGUCUGCUCUCCUGCUACCUUGAUCUACACCCAGCCCUUCCCUAUUGCAACCCACGAUAGUAUCGUAGUGUGAAAUGGUGACUUCUGGAGUGCUUUGUAUUUUAUCUGCUCUCCUACUACUUUAAUUUAAACGGAGGCCUUCCUUAUUGCAACCCACGAUAGUUUCGUAGUGUGAAAUGAUGACUUCUGGUGGGCUUUGUAGAUUGUCUGCUUUCCUGCUAUCUUGAUCUACACCUAGGCCUUCCUUAUUGCAACCCACGAUAGUAUCCUAGUGUGAAAUGAUGACUUCUGGAGUGCUUUGUAUUUUAUCUGCUCUCCUACUACUUUAAUUUACACGGAGACCUUCCCUAUUGCAACACACGAUAGUAUCGUAGUGUGAAAUGGUGACUUUUGGAGUGCUUUGUAUUUUAUCUGCUCUCCUACUACUUUAAGUUACACGGAGGCCUUCCUUAUUGCAACCCACGAUAGUAUCGUAAUGCGAAAUGGUAACUUCUGGAGUGCUUUGUUGAUUGUCGGCUCUCCUGCUACUUUAAUUUACACAGAGGCCUUCCUUAUUGCAACCCACGAUAGUUUCGUAGUGUGAAAUGAUGACUUCUGGUGGGCUUUGUAGAUUGUCUGCUUUCCUGCUAUCUUGAUCUACACCUAGGCCUUCCUUAUUGCAACCCAUGAUAGUAUCGUAAUGCGAAAUGGUGACUUCUGGAGUGCUUUGUAGAUUGUCUGCUCUCCUGCUACUUUAAAUUACCCAGAGGCCUUCCUUAUUGCAACCCACGAUAGUAUUGUAGUUUGAAAUGAUGACUUCUGGCGUUCUACGCAGAUUUUCUAUUUUCCUGCUACGUUAAUCUACACAUAAGCCUUCCUUAUUGC